UAGGUCCCAGUGUGUUUCUAGUUAGGUCCCAGUGUGUUUCUAGUUAGGUCCCAGUGUGUUUCUAGUUAGGUCCCAGUGUGUUUCUAGUUAGGCCCCAGUGUGUUUCUAGUUAGGCCCCAGUGUGUUUCUAGUUAGGUCCCAGUGUGUUAGGCCCCAGUGUGUUUCUAGUUAGGUCCCAGUGUGUUUCUAGUUAGGCCCCAGUGUGUUUCUAGUUAGGCCCCAGUGUGUUUCUAGUUAGGCCCCAGUGUGUUUCUAGUUAGGCCCCAGUGUGUUUCUAGUUAGGUCCCAGUGUGUUUCUAGUUAGGUCCCAGUGUGUUUCUAGUUAGGUCCCAGUGUGUUUCUAGUUAGGUCCCAGUGUGUUU
ensembl:lncRNA